AGUUAGUGCAUUCAAGUGAAGAAAUCAAGCACCUUCAAGUUUUCCAACAGAUUUCGUGCUCAACUACUCUCUCCCGUUUGGCAUUCAAAGCUCACAUUCAAGCCAACGCGAUCCACAUCGGAAGAACCAUCAUCUCCCACGCUUCCAACGGCUAAAAGGGUUCUUGCGGGUUCUAUUGUUUAUAUUGUUAUAUUUGCUUGUUUAAGAAGCUUUGAUUUGUUUUAAACCUUUAUUCUAAUAUCUUGUAACUUGAUUCAAUCAAGGGAUUGAAUCAAGGGGUUAAGGUUUGUCGGUGAGCCAAA
rnacentral:lncRNA from 1 species